UAUUAUUGUCCCCUAUUUUGUUUUUCGCUUAAACACUUUGCCCUUCCUUACAAAAAUCCAAUGGUUUCUUUACCAUUCUAAUUGGGGGCAGAUUCAGACAAAAUAAUUAAAUCCCAACUCAGCUCUGGAAAGUGGUAUUCUUAUCAUGCACAACCGUUUUACAUUCUGGACAAUGAAAUAUGGAACAGGAAAAUAAAAGAAGUGAGUACUCGAUGCAUGGGAUCAAUAGUGAUGGGUUUAAAGCACAGGACUCCGAAUUUCUUAAAAGCAGGCACAGCUCUGAAACACAUCUUGCUCCAAGUAAAUCAAAUGAAGAUGGAAAUUAUGAUUUUCAAGGUCCGGAGGCUAAGGAACUUCAUUUGCGAGUUGGUGCUCAAAAAGAGGAGAUUCAACAUCUUCGUGAACAAAUUGCCGUUACAUGUGUGAAGGAAUUGCAGCUGCUGAAUGAAAAAUGUGCGCUGGAGAGGAAAUUCUCUGACUUGCGGAUGGCAAUUCAUGAAAAGCAAAAUGAAUACAUCACUUCUGCUUCAAAUGAAUUGGCUCGCAGAAAAGGUGACCUUGAAGAAAAUUUAAAGCUGACUCAUGAUUUAAAGGCUGCGGAGGAUGAGAGAUACAUCUUCAUGUCAUCAUUGCUUGGGCUAUUGGCUGAACAUGGUCUUUGGCCCCACGUUGUAAAUGCGUCUACCAUUACCAGCAGUGUAAAGUACCUACAUGAUCAGUUAGAAUGGAAGAUCAGAACUUCGCAUGAUAGAAUUAGAGAGUUGAGUGGUGUUCACGGAACUCAUGCUAGAGGCAGAUCUCAUGAAAAGAUAGGCCAAGUUCUGGCAUUUUGAUGAUCAAAAUCCUCAUAGAUCCACGGUACUAUUUGCAUGCUGGUCCGGUUUCUCUCCAACUAAUCAUACCCAGAUGAGCAACAUCAUAUGCCACCUGAGAAUAUGAUGAGAUACAUGCAUGAUAAUGAUCACACUGCAAAAAAUUUAAUGUUCAAUGAUCUGGGCAACAACGAUUGAGCAAUGGCACUGCACAGGAGUUCUUGUUCAAUUCUGAUAGAGGUUUUGUAAGAAUCGGAUCUGAGGAUACAGCCAAUGAUGUCUUGUAUCAGCCUGAUGAGAUGGCCUCCCAAGGUUCUGAAGACGGGCCUGGAAUUGAGGGUUUCAGAUAAUGGGGAUGCAACACCAGGAGAAAAGCUUCUAGGAUGCGGCUUUCCCGUACGAGGAACUACCCUUUGUAUGUUUUCAGG